rfam:Nematostella vectensis strain CH2 x CH6 NEMVEscaffold_2162_Cont40618, whole genome shotgun sequence.
UUUAAAUUUCUGGAGAUAAAUCCUUUGCAGACGACUUAAAUAAAGAACGGGGUAUUGUACGUUGUAGAGUAGCCUUGUUGCUACGAUCUUCUGAGAUUAAGCCUUUGUUCUACGAUUUGU